CGAAAGCGUAGGGGAGCGAACGGGAUUAGAUACCCCGGUAGUCUACGCCGUAAACGAUGCGCACUAGGUUCGAGAGCUACUGACAGUUUUUCGUGCCGAAACAAAAGCGAUAAGUGCGCCGCCUGGGGAGUACGGCCGCAAGGCUAAAACUCAAAGGAAUUGACGGGGGCUCACACAAGCGGUGGAGCAUGUGGAUUAAUUCGAAGCAACGCGAAGAACCCUACCUGGGUUUGACAUGUACGGAUGCCCUUCCCGAAAGGGGAGUAAGCUGCCUUCGGGUGAAACGUACACAGGUGCUGCAUGGCUGUCGUCAGCUCGUGCUGUGAAGUGUCGGGUUAAGUCCCUUAACGAGCGAAACCCUUAUCGCUAGUUGCCAGCGGGUUAUGCCGGGAACUCUAGCGAGACUGCCGGCGUUAAGCCGGAGGAAGGUGGGGACGACGUCAAGUCAUCAUGGCCUUUAUGCCCAGGGUGUCACACGUGCUACAAUGGGACGUACAGAGCGACGCCAAGCCGCGAGGUGUAGCAAAUCGCAGAAAGCGUUCCUCAGUUCGGGAUUGGGGUCUGCAACCCGACCCCAUGAAGUCGGAAUCGCUAGUAAUCGCGUAUCAGCCAUG
rnacentral:rRNA from 1 species